rnacentral:rRNA from 1 species
GGAAGCGGGACGACGUCAAGUCAUCAUGGCCUUACGACCAGGGCUACACACGUGCUACAAUGGUCGGUACAAAGGGUUAGGCUAACCCUAGCGAUAGGAUGCUAAUCUCAAAAAGCCGAUCGUAGUCCGGAUUGGAGUCUGCAACUCGACUCCAUGAAGUCGGAAUCGCUAGUAAUCGCGGAUCAGAAUGCCGCGGUGAAUACGUUCCCGGGCCUU